rnacentral:rRNA from 1 species
GACGAACGCUGGCGGCGUGCCUAAUACAUGCAAGUCGAGCGAAGUUUUUCUGGUGCUUGCACCGGAAAAACUUAGCGGCGAACGGGUGAGUAACACGUAAAGAACCUGCCUCAUAGACUGGGACAACUAUUGGAAACGAUAGCUAAUACCGGAUAAUAGCAUUAACUGCAUGGUUGAUGUUUAAAAGUUGGUUUUGCUAACACUAUGAGAUGGCUUUGCGGUGCAUUAGCUAGUUGGUGGGGUAAAGGCCUACCAAGGCGACGAUGCAUAGCCGACCUGAGAGGGUGAUCGGCCACACUGGGACUGAGUCACGGCCCAGACUCCUACGGGAGGCAGCAGUAGGGAAUCUUCCGCAAUGGGCGAAAGCCUGACGGAGCAACGCCGCGUGAGUGAAGAAGGAUUUCGGUUCGUAAAGCUCUGUUGUUAGGGAAGAAUGAUUGUGUAGUAACUAUACACAGUAGAGACGGUACCUAACCAGAAAGCCACGGCUAACUACGUG